CUGCCUUUCAUCUUGUGAUCUGCUGGAGUCAGGGGGGGGGGCGGGGGGGUGCAGGGGUGAUCUGAGAGUCCAGGUGUACCUUCUGAACACUAAAUCAGACUUUAUGGUAAAAGACAGGAAAAUACUUUAUUGCGGUGAAAAAUAUUUCAAUCGAUUCCCAAAGUCCACUGGUUUCAUUCCCAGCGUUAAAAAUCAUCGGACCUUGAAAGUAUGAAAAUCUACACACAAAAAAUACAGUUUGAGUUUCUGACCAAAGUCUGACGCUGCGACCUUGCUUGACCUUGGUCAGGGGUUAACGAUUUCAUGAUGUCAGGAUGAAUUAAGACGUCUACUGUUGUCAGUGUUAGUGUUAAGGGUAUAAUUAAAGAAGUGAUCAAUCAUGAUCAUCACAUAACGGAAGGUGAUGGACACCUCUGAGGGUAGUAGGAUCUAGAUGUUCUCUGGGAGCAGAAGGAUCUAGAUCAGAGGUCUCAAACUCGCGGCCCGGGGGCCAAUUAAGGCCGGCGGGAAGUUAUUUUGUGGCCCCCUACUUGACAUCAAAGUUUAGUGUUAGUGCGGCCCGCGCGUUGUUGUCAAACGCACAUUUUUGCAGAGUCACUUGCCACGCUUUUUUAUCACUUGUGAUAGGGUGACCAGAUGUCCCGGUUUUGCCGGGACAGUCCCAAUUUUGAGUUGUGUGUCCUGAGUCCCGAUAAAAGCCAAAAGACGCUAAAAUUUCUCGGUUUUCCACCAACCACUAUGAAAUGUCUCCUGUUGUCAGCGAUUAAAUAGCCAACGUGAUCUAAAUAUAGCACGAUCAUUAACUUAGAUUGGGUCAGUUGUGCUCCUUUUUUUUGUGGAAUACUUGAUGUGGCCCAGCCCGACCCAGACUCUACCUCCAGCGGCCCCCAGGUAAGUUGAGUUUGAGACCCCUGAUCUAGAUGUUCUCCGGGGGCAGAAGGAUCUAGAGGUUCUCUGGGGGCACCAGGACCUAGAUGUUCUCCGGGGGCAGAAGGAUCUAGAGGUUCUCUGGGGGCACCAGGAUCUAGAUGUUCUCCGGGGGCAGAAGGAUCUAGAGGUUCUCUGGGGGCACCAGGAUCUAGUGGUUCUCCGGGGGCAGAAGGAUCUAGAAGUGUUUGGAGGAGUCACUCCUGUUAUGACCAUCACAGUUUCACUGUGAGACAAAGGUCUGCUCGGUGGAGUUCCUUCACCACAGCUCCACAGCCUUCAUCAUCCCCCUCUGCUGUCAAACAACAAAACAAGGAGUCCUUCAUGUGUCCAGGUGCUUAGGGGAGGGGGUGGGGGUACAGGUGUUCAGGUCAUGGUAGGGUGUUAGGGUAGGGUGUUCAGGUUUUCAGGUUUUUUUUUAGGGUGGGGGCAGAGUGUUAGGGUGGGGCUAGGGUGGUCAGGUGAGGGGUAGUGUAAGGGUGGGGUGUGUUCAGGUGUUCAGGGGGGGGGUGUGUGUCAGGGUGGGGUGUGGUCUGUGUCUGGGGGGCAGGUGUCAGGUGUCCGGGUGGGAGGGGUUAGGGUGGUGUGUGUUCAGGGCUCCAGGGUGUGGGGGGGGGUGUUCAGGGCUCGGGGGGCCAGGUGUCCGGG
ensembl:lncRNA